rnacentral:rRNA from 1 species
GGGGACGGAUCGCGGAAGAUCAUCAGGGUGUUGGAUGUCCCUGUUGCUGUAUCGAAGAUGGCGCUUAGGCAAAUCCGGGCGCGUAAAUCAAGGGUAUGGCACGAGCGAGCAUUGCUUGCGAAGUGAUUGGAAGUGGUUCCAAGAAAAGCCUCUAAGCUUCAGCUGUACGAGACCGUACCGCAAACCGACACAGGUGGACGGGAUGAAUAUUCCAAGGCGCUUGAGAGAACUCAGGAGAAGGAACUCGGCAAAUUGAUACCGUAACUUCGGGAGAAGGUAUACCCCGGUAGUGUGAAGCGCCUGCGCGCUUAGCAUGAUGGGGUCGCAGAGAAUCGGUGGCUGCGACUGUUUAUUAAAAACACAGCACUCUGCAAAGACGAAAGUCGACGUAUAGGGUGUGACGCCUGCCCGGUGCCGGAAGGUUAAGUGAUGGGGUGCAAGCUCUUGAUCGAAGCCCCGGUAAACGGCGGCCGUAACUAUAACGGUCCUAAGGUAGCGAAAUUCCUUGUCGGGUAAGUUCCGACCUGCACGAAUGGCGUAACGAUGGCCACACUGUCUCCUCCUGAGACUCAGCGAAGUUGAAGUGUUUGUGAUGAUGCAAUCUACCCGCGGCUAGACGGAAAGACCCCAUGAACCUUUACUGUAGCUUUGCAUUGAUCUGUGAACCGGCCUGUGUAGGAUAGGUGGGAGGCUUUGAAGCGUGGUCGCUAGAUCACGUGGAGCCAUCCUUGAAAUACCACCCUGGUUUGUUUGCGGUUCUAACCUUGGUCCGUUAUCCGGAUCGGGGACAGUGCAUGGUGGGCAGUUUGACUGGGGCGGUCUCCUCCCAAAGUGUAACGGAGGAGUUCGAAGGUACGCUAGGUACGGUCGGAAAUCGUGCUGAUAGUGCAAUGGCAUAAGCGUGCUUGACUGUGAGACUGACAAGUCGAACAGGUGCGAAAGCAGGACAUAGUGAUCCGGUGGUUCUGAAUGGAAGGGCCAUCGCUCAACGGAUAAAAGGUACUCUGGGGAUAACAGGCUGAUACCGCCCAAGAGUUCAUAUCGACGGCGGUGUUUGGCACCUCGAUGUCGGCUCAUCUCAUCCUGGGGCUGUAGCCGGUCCCAAGGGUAUGGCUGUUCGCCAUUUAAAGAGGUACGUGAGCUGGGUUUAAAACGUCGUGAGACAGUUUGGUCCCUAUCUGCCGUGGGCGUUGGAUACUUGACGGAGCCUGCUCCUAGUACGAGAGGACCGGAGUGGACGUACCUCUGGUGUACCGGUUGUCAUGCCAAUGGCAUUGCCGGGUAGCUAAGUACGGAAGAGAUAACCGCUGAAGGCAUCUAAGCGGGAAACUCGUCUGAAGAUAAGGUAUCCCGGGGACUUGAUCCCCCUGAAGGGUCGUUCGAGACCAGGACGUUGAUAGGUCGGGUGUGGAAGCGCAGUAAUGCGUUAAGCUAACCGAUACUAAUUGCCCGUGAGGCUUGAUCCUAUAACACUGAUGGUUAUG